AUUGAACGCUGCGGCAGGCUUAACACAUGCAAGUCGAGCGAGCGACGGACGGGUGAGUAAUGCUUAGGAAUCGGCCUAUUAGUGGGGGACAACGUCUCGAAAGGGAAGCUAAUACCGACUACUAAUAGAUGAGCCUCAGUCGGAUUAGCUAGGUGGGGGGGUAAAUGCCUACCCAGGCGACGAUCUGUAGCGGGUCUGGGAGGAUGAUCCGCCACACUGGGACUGAGACACGGCCCAGACUCCUACGGGAGGCAGGAGGGGGGAAUAUUGGACAAUGGGGGGAAACCUGGUCCAGCCAUGCCGUGUGUGUGAAGAAGGCCUUAUGGUUGUAAAGCACUUUAAGCGAGGAGACGUUACUCGCAGAAUAAGCACCGGCUAACUCUGUGCCAGCAGCCGCGGUAAUUC
rnacentral:rRNA from 1 species